UACGUAGGGGGCAAGCGUUGUCCGGAUUUAUUGGGCGUAAAGAGCGUGUAGGCGGCUAGGUAGGUCCGUUGUGAAAACUCGAGGCUCAACCUCGAGACGCCGGUGGAAACCAUCUAGCUAGAGUCCGGAAGAGGAGAGUGGAAUUCCUGGUGUAGCGGUGAAAUGCGUAGAGAUCGGAAAGAACACCAACGGCGAAAGCACUCUGCUGGGCCGACACUGACACUGAGAGACGAAAGCUAGGGGAGCGAAUGGG
rnacentral:rRNA from 1 species